GAUGAACGCUAGCGGCAGGCUUAACACAUGCAAGUCGAGGGGUAUAGGUUUUCGGACCUAGAGACCGGCGCACGGGUGCGUAACGCGUAUGCAAUCUACCUUUCACAGAGGGAUAGCCCAGAGAAAUUUGGAUUAAUACCUCAUAGUAUUAUAGAAUGGCAUCAUUUUAUAAUUAAAGUCACAACGGUGAAAGAUGAGCAUGCGUCCCAUUAGCUAGUUGGUAUGGUAACGGCAUACCAAGGCAACGAUGGGUAGGGGUCCUGAGAGGGAGAUCCCCCACACUGGUACUGAGACACGGACCAGACUCCUACGGGAGGCAGCAGUGAGGAAUAUUGGUCAAUGGGCGCAAGCCUGAACCAGCCAUGCCGCGUGCAGGAUGACGGUCCUAUGGAUUGUAAACUGCUUUUGCACAGGAAGAAACAACGCUACGUGUAGCGUCUUGACGGUACUGUGAGAAUAAGGAUCGGCUAACUCCGUGCC
rnacentral:rRNA from 1 species